rnacentral:rRNA from 1 species
AUACGGGGGGUGCAAGCGUUAAUCGGAAUUACUGGGCGUAAAGCGCGCGUAGGCGGUUUGCUCAGUCGGAUGUGAAAGCCCAGGGCUCAACCUUGGAACUGCAUACGAUACUGGCAAACUAGAGUGUGAGAGAGGAUAGUGGAAUUUCCGGUGUAGCGGUGAAAUGCGUAGAUAUCAGAAGGAACAUCAGUGGCGAAGGCGACUGUCUGGCUCAACACUGACGCUCAGGUGCGAAAGCGUGGGUAGCAAACAGGAUUAGAUACCCCAGUAGUCC